AGGGGCGAGGUCGGCCGCUGCCCCAGGAGGAAGCCGGGGCCGGGCCGGGAAGGUGCAAAUCUCUGCACGUGAGCCUGCCAGCCUCGUCUCAUCACAACCCUGAGUGUUUUGACUGAGAAGCUCUACCUGCCUCUCGGGAUUGAUGUGAAGAUUAAUGCCUGUUUAGCAAAUUACAGCUUCCCCGGCACCUCCUGCUCCUGGGAGAGAAGGAGCCUUGGAAACGGAAAAUAAAAACAAAUCUCAGCGCUCCGUGUCAAGGCUUGGCCGUGGCCAUGACAGCUGGGCCCGACUCGACAGAGCGUGGAGGCUUAGCAAAGCCAGGAGCUGUGCUGGUGAGAUUUCUGGUCUCAAGAAUCAGAGAGGAGAGGCCCAUCAGGCUGAGAUACCGGGGAGGCACCUGACGGAGCUGUGUCUGCCAAGCCUGCCUUGUGUCCAGGUAACCAGCCAGAAAGACGACCUUGUUUCCUCAAGGGCUGGGGAGGGAGACACGGGCCCGGCUGGCUUGGAGCCCAAGGUAGAGGGGCGCGGGGAGGGGAGCCAGGAUGUGCUGAGCUGGCAGGUUGAGCACUGCCCGUGCACAGCUCUGCAUACAUUUUGUGCCUUCGAUGUCCUCACCUUGGAGGAGAGUCGUAGCUUGUGUUCUAACCAGCUGUCCCAGUGUGUGAGGUUUCACAUGAUUUACUAAAGGGGGGGAAACAUUUGUUUCUUGCCGCAGACAUCCAAGAGAGCCCUCGUGAUGCAUGGCAGAGGAAUUGGCACAGAGGCUGCUGGAGCCCUGGCCCUGGUGGCGAUCAUCAUGCUCUGAGCAUCAAGGAGGGAGGGAAGCAGGGGCUGGAGCCCAGGGGGCCCCCGAGCGGAGACAGAGCCGAGGUGGGGAGGAGGGACGGAAUCGGUUGUGCUUGUCACCACGCUCCAGACUCAUCCAGCCUCAAGCGGGGGAGCCUGGCCAGCAGGUCUGAGAAAGCCAUCGCAGAGCUCCAGCCGCUGUGGCCUUCCCAGGCAAGCCAUGCGGCUGUGAAGUCUGGUGUGAAGAUGCUCUUCUAGCACCUUGCACACACUGAGCGCUCAAAAACGGACGGCACCACCACUAGUUAUCACCUCUCGCGAGAGGCCGGGGGUCUUCGGGACGGGACGGGGGCGGGGNUUGCCCCGGCCGGGCCCCUCCCGCCCCUCAGCUCCUGUUCUUGCCUUUUGUUCCUCCGAACCCAUGUGCAAACGCUGGCUUUGCUGCAUCACCUGGCUGAGCCCCAGGGUCAUGGCACUUACCUAGCCCUGGGCGAUGCUCGGAGCGUGGUGGCAAUGGUUUCUAGGCAACACUACCCUUCUGGGAGCACCUUGGACUGUGGGCCGGGCCUUGAAGAGGUCUGAAGGCUGAAGUUUGAUAGGGGCCUGGUGCCAAAGCAGCUGUCGGAACCAGGGCUGGGGGGGGGGGGCAUCCAGAUGGGACGGUGAGCGUGGCCAGGCCCCAAGCUCCAGGCACUUCAGCCUCAGCAGCCACGGUGGCAGAUGCUAGGACAGCCAACUGGGCAGAUGCCAGGGGCCCGGCGUGGCCUGGCUGAUGGAGGAUUGUACCACUGGGGAUGCAGAAGGGUGGCUGGCAGCAGGGCCCCGCACCCCAGGAGAGGGAUUCAAAGUCAGGAUUCUGCAGGCAUGCUGAAACCAUGGUGGCCCUCUGGUCCUUUCGGUAGUGGUGAGGGGAUGAGGCAGGCAGCACGGAAGCAGAAGGCCCUUCAGGAGCCCAUGUCCCAGGUGGGGGCCUUGGCCAGGAAGACCCGUUUCCAAAGACCUGGGCCCAAGGUAGGAGGGACACAGCUGGCCUGAGCCACCAGCAGCUUCGGGGCCUCCUGUCCCUGCCCUGGCCAGUGUUUUUGUUUUUGCUUUUCUUUGCUUUUUAGGGCUGCAUCAGCAGCACAUGAAAGUUCCCAGGCUAAGGGUCGAAUCGGAGUUGUAGCCACUGGCCUACACCACAGCCACUGCAACACAAGAUCCAAGCUGCAUCUGUGGCCUAUCCCACGGCUCAUGGCAAUGUUGGAUCCUUAACCCACUGAGCAAGGCCAGGGAUCAAUCCCACAUCCUUGUGGAUACUAGUCAGGUUCCUAGCCCACUGAGCCACAACAGAAACUCCUGCCCUGGCCAGUGUUGACUGCACCACAUCAGAUCAAGAGCUUCCUGAGGUCCUGGACAGGACUGACAGACAGAAGGGUCAAGCUGGUGGCCAGAACGGCUCCAGGUGCAACAUGCAUGCUUAAUACCCAUCCACACGGGCACCACAGGGAAUGGGAUUGAGCAGCAUUUUGGCGACGUCACCUUUCCCAGCAGAGAAUUCCGUGGGCUUUAUUUCGAUCCCCAACACGAAGGCCAUGAAAGGCUAUGGUACUCUGGCUUAGGAGCUCUACGGACAAAGCAGAUGCCACCCGGGGUUUCCAGGGAGCGGAAUUCGCUCAUCCUGAUUCCUGUGGUUACGCUUGCAGAACGAAAGGAUUCCUCCAUAGCCAUGUCAUUUCAACAGCGCGGUGGCGAGGAGCAGCGAGGGACCUUCUCCAGCGUCCUAUUUAUGAAAACAAUAGCUCAAGUUCACGGUAUUAACCGUCACCACAGGCACUGCCCUUCUCCCGACUCGCCCUCUCCCCACGCAUAUAAAUAGGCGCGCACACAUAAAUACGUACAAACACACACACACUCAAAAUACACAUACACCCAAACACAAACUCACAGAAAUGCACACACACACACACACACACACACACACACACACACACACACGCAGAAACAGAUUCAGACACGUACACACAUCUUGAUGAAAAUGGAGAAUUUCAGUUUGGAGGAAAAAAGCAGAGCAAGCAGAUUUCCUGCUCCUUAGGAAGACAGUGUGGACAGAACCUCUUCCCGGCAUUGGGAUAAAGGUUCUCCAUCCUAUUCUGGUGCCUUCCAGCUCUUUUUGGACUCUGUAGGAUAAAGGACAGAGAGGCGGGCACUGCUGGGCCCCAUCUGGCUCUGUGUUCCCUGACUGCCGAGGUCGUGGGCUCUUGGCAGAGGUGAGCCGAGGGUGCUGGCUGCUGAAAAAUUUAAAGCAAACUCUUGCUGCCAUGCUGGCAAUCAGAAGAUGACUAUCAGGCGUCAGUGCUUCUGCCGAACUGGUGGAAACCCACCUGCCUGUGAGGCUGACGGCGGAACCACGGAUGGUACCGUUUUAUGAGCUUCAAACCUAAAAACGUCCUUGGGUUCUACUCACCAAUAUGCCUUCCGGCUUCCUUGGUCUUCCUGGCCAGGAUGGGAAACGCAUCGUACCACUCAGGGUCCAGUGCAAGGAAUGGAGACUGCUCCAGGUAUUUUAAGCAGAAAGGGAUUUAAUACAGGGAAGCUGGUGCUUACAGAAUCACUGGAAGGGGCAGUUGUUCCCUGAAGCCACUGUAACAAAAUGACCACGAACUGGCUGGCUUACCACAACAGGAGUGAAUCCUCUCACUGUUCUGGAAGCCAGAAGUCUGAAGUCAAGGUCGGGCCACGCUCCCUCAGGAGAAUCCUCUACCUCUUCCAGCUUCCGGCGGCUGUCAGCAUGCUUUGUCGCUGCAUUGCUCCUGUCCCUGCCUCUGUCUUGCCCUGGUCCUCCGAUCUCUGUUUUCUCCUCAUCUGUCUAAGGGCAUCUAUCAUUGGAUUUAGGGCCUACCAAGGUCAUCCAGGAUAAUCUCAUCUCCAGAUCCUUAACCUAAUUCCAUCUGUAAAACCUCUUUUUGCCAAAUAAGGUCCCACGUACAGGUUCCAGGCAAUGGGACAUGGACAUAGCUUUUGGGAGGCUACCAUCCAACCCAUUACAGGAGGGCCGUUGUGGAAACUCUAGGCUGGAUCUCCAGGAAUGACGCCCAGAAUCCUGCAAUCCUGACUUGCUGGGGAGCCACCUUCUUUGCCACAUGUGGGAAGGCCAGGAGCCACCAAUAGAGCAGCUGUGUCUAAAAACUCAUGGCUGGAGCUGUGAGCUUGAAAUCAGGAUGCUGCCUCAGCUGCGGCAGCAACUGUCUCUGGACACGGACAAAAUGUGAGUGGACACUGGAAUGCUGCCACAGAAAAUUCCACGUCUUCUCGAGCCCAUCGGUGGCCUGGCAAAGUCGACUACACAGAGUAGAUGGCUGUGGUGGGUUCCUCUGCAUUGUCCGUCUAGCAUCCACUCAUUUAAUUUCCAGGAAAACCUUCGGGUUUUCACCUGGGGAGACGCUCUGUGUCAGCUCCCCGUGGCUCUGUAACGAACUCUCCCCAAACUCCAUGACUUCAAACAAGGACCGUUAUUUCUCACGGUUCUGGGUGCUGACUAGGCUCCGCCGGGCGGUUCUUCUGCUCCUUGUAGUGUCUGGAGGCCCAGCCGUCUGGACUGUCCUAGACGGCUCACCCACGCAGCUGGCAGUAGUGCUGGGUGCUGGCUGGGAGACCGGCGGAGCGUAUUGGCCAAGAUUCUCCCUUGCAUGAGCUUCUCCACAUGGCAGCCACACUCUUCUUUGCUCCUGCCUGGUUCUCAGAUCUGUGGCUGGGCACCUAAGGCCGAUGACACAGCCCUGUUCUCCAUAAGCUCACAGCUCGCUCGGAUGUGUGGCCCCGAGAAGAUGGGGCCAGGAGACGCUCCUCCCCUAGGCUGGGCGGCGAUCUCCGUCUGUGAUGGAUGGAUUGCAAAAUUAGCCCCAUAUUCUUCCCCGCCCUUUGGUAAUGCUCUCCCACGCUGACCUUGAACGUGGACAUUGACUUUACAUGGUGUCACAUCUACCAUGUUUGGGGGCCAAAACAAGGCAUAAGGCUGGCCUCGGUUCAAGGGGAGGGGAAAAACUCUGCCUCUCAGCGGGAGGAGUGGCAAAGAAGUUGUGGGCAACUUUCACCCACCACUCACCCCAACUACUCUCAAGCCAUGGGGUGCUGGUGGAGCUGACACCCCUGCCCAGAGUGGCGUAUGACGCAUGCCGGGCCUGUCAGAACCUUUUUUUCCCCCCCAGCAUCAGUGAUUGGAUCAGAGAUGGUCACCUGAUGCCAGUCAGGUCAAAAUAGCCAUCGGACUCACUUUUGGGGACUUUUUUUUAGAGUCCUUAGGAAAAUAGCCUCUUUGCUUUCCAUGCCAAACCAGAAGCCGAGUAAAUAUAAGGAGAUGCUGCCACCAUCUUGCCAUCAGGAGGGAGCCUAAGAAUGAAGCCAGGGCCAGGAGGAGAGAGAGGGGGCAACUGAGUCCGGACGACACGAGUUAAUGCCUGAAUACAUCUCAUCCGACUUGGACAGCUGGUGGGCAUCCCUGAGCUGAUCUUGCUGCCCGGGAAGUGUGCCAGGGAAAAUGGUUAGGGCUCUACCUGUCCUUCCUUACUACCCACUGCCAGGUGGUAUGUUGAAGCGAACGCAAACCUCAGGUGGAAUCUGACCAGCUGGAUGAUCAUUUAUUAGGAAGCAGGGACAAGGACAGUACCCUGUUCCCGCAGGCUUGCUAAGGGCCCGUUCUGUCCGCGGGCACUCUGACAGGUCCUCUGCAUGCAGGCUUCAUUCUGACGGAGAUGCAGGGCCACUCUCUCGGCGGGGUCAGCCAAGCUUCUGGAGGGAUCAGACACCACGGACCCCUGAAGAUGGGGAAAUGGUCGGAGGCCAAACGGAACUCCAGGUUAGAGUGUUGAGCGGAGGGCGCCAAGAGCUUGUGAUCUUUUUCUUUUUAAAUUGAAGUAUAAUUGAUGUACAACAUUGUAUUAGCUUCAAGUGUACGGCAAAGUGAUCCAGAUACAUAUAUUCUUUUGCAGAUUCUUUUCCAUGAUGGUUUAUUACAA
rnacentral:lncRNA from 1 species